GUGUCAGCCGCCGCGGUAAGACGAACCGUCCAAACGUUAUUCGGAAUCACUGGGCUUACAGAGUUCGUAGGCGGUCCCAAAAGUUAGGUGUGAAAUCCCUCGGCUCAACCGAGGAACUGCGCUUAAAACUGUGGGACUCGAGGGAGAUAGAGGAAAGCGGAACUGAUGGUGGAGCGGUGAAAUGCGUUGAUAUCAUCAGGAACACCGGUGGCGAAGGCGGCUUUCUGGGUCUUACCUGACGCUGAGGAACGAAAGCCAGGGGAGCGAACGGGAUUAGAUACCCCCGUAGUCC
rnacentral:rRNA from 1 species